rnacentral:tmRNA from 2 species
GGGGGCGACCUGGUUUCGACGGGGGUUGCGAAGCAGAUGAGGGCAUACCGGGAUCUCAGUCACCCCGUAAAACGCUGAAAUUCUAUAGUCGCAAACGACGAAACUUACGCUCUGGCCGCUUAAUCGCGCCAGACACUGCAACGGUUCGCUGAUGGGCCGUGUGGGGCAACCCACAGCAGUGUCACUUUACAUCAGCUAGCUCUGUGCCGGGUCACUUGACCCAGGGCGAACUAAUAGGUGACUCGCCUCAGCCAAGCCUGUCCGUCGGCGUGGUCUGCGGUUAAAUCCAAAAGACGAGGCUAAGUAUGUAGAACUCACUGUAGAGGACUUUCGGACGCGGGUUCGAUUCCCGCCGCCUCCACCA